CAGCAGCCGCGGGAAUACGGAAGGUCCAGGCGUUAUCCGGAUUUAUUGGGUUUAAAGGGAGUGUAGGCGGUCUGUUAAGCGUGUUGUGAAAUUUAGGUGCUCAACAUUUAACUUGCAGCGCGAACUGGCGGACUUGAGUGCACGCAACGUAUGCGGAAUUCAUGGUGUAGCGGUGAAAUGCUUAGAUAUCAUGACGAACUCCGAUUGCGAAGGCAGCGUACGGGAGUGUUACUGACGCUUAAGCUCGAAGGUGCGGGUAUCGAACAGGAUUAGAUACCCGCGUAGUCCCUGUCUCUUAUAC
rnacentral:rRNA from 1 species